GACGAACGCUGGCGGCGUGCUUUAUACAUGCAAGUCGAACGAUGAAGUUCCUUCGGGAAUGGAUUAGUGGCGAACUGGUGAGGAACACGUGAGAAACCUGCCUUUCAUUCUGGGAUAACACCGGGAAACCGGUGCUAAUACCGGAUACUCCGUCUUGGCGGCAUCGCCGAGCCGGGAAAAAAUUUUGAUGAAAGAUGGUCUCGCGGCCUAUCAGCUAGUUGGUGAGGUAAAGGCUCACCAAGGCGACGACGGGUAGCCGGCCUGAGAGGGCGACCGGCCACACUGGGACUGAGACACGGCCCAGACUCCUACGGGAGGCAGCAGUAGGGAAUAUUGGGCAAUGGGCGCAAGCCUGACCCAGCGACGCCGCGUGAGGGAUGAAGGUCUUCGGAUUGUAAACCUCUUUCAGUAGGGAAGAAGCGAAAGUGACGGUACCUAAAGAAGAAGCACCGGCUAACUAUAUGCCAGCCGCCGCAGUAAGAC
rnacentral:rRNA from 1 species